rnacentral:rRNA from 1 species
GUGCCAGCCGCCGCGGUAAGACGGAGGGUGCUAGCGUUGUUCGGAUUUACUGGGCGUAAAGGGCGCGUAGGCGGCCCUGUCAGUCGGGUGUGAAAGCCCGGGGCUCAACCCCGGAACGGCACCCGAGACGGCAGGGCUGGAGACCGGGAGAGGAGGGUGGAAUAGCCAGUGUAGAGGUGAAAUUCGUAGAUAUUGGCUGGAACACCGGUGGCGAAAGCGGCUCUCUGGCCCGGUUCUGACGCUGAGGCGCGAAAGCGUGGGGAGCAAACAGGAUUAGAUACCCUAGUAGUCC